AGGACGAACGCUGGCGGCGUGCCUAACACAUGCAAGUCGAACGGGACCGGGGGCAACUCCGGUUCAGUGGCGGACGGGUGCGUAACACGUGAGGAACAUGACCUUCGGCGGGGGAUAGCCGGCCCAACGGCCGGGUAAUACCGCGUACGACCACUCUGGGACAUCCCUAGGUGGUGAAAGCAGCAAUGCGCCGAUGGAGUGCCUCGCGGCCUAUCAGCUAGUUGGUGGGGUAACGGCCUACCAAGGCGACGACGGCUAGCUGGUCUGAGAGGACGACCAGCCACACUGGGACUGAGACACGGCCCAGACUCCUACGGGAGGCAGCAGUGGGGAAUCUUGCGCAAUGGGCGAAAGCCUGACGCAGCAACGCCGCGUGGGGGAUGAAUGCCUUCGGGUUGUAAACCCCUUUCAGCAGGGACGAAUCUGACGGUACCUGCAGAAGAAGCCCGGCCAACUACGUGCCAGCAGCCGC
rnacentral:rRNA from 1 species